GUUGCUUUGUAGAACUGUUGCAGAAAACCUCACUAAACCACAUGGAGGGGCCUCAAGAUAGUCGUCCAAAUGAAACCAUACAAAAACCAAACUAGCACAACCCAAACGCUAAAGUCUCCUGCAGCCUACCAGAGAACCUCUGAGAACAGAGAAUCAGGACAGGAACUCUUACCUUCUGGACAACCAACAAUACAGAAUGUGUCUGACCAAAAACCUCUGAAGACUCACUACAGCCAAGAUAAAGACACAACGCAGCUGCACCAAAUCCACUAAUCACUGCACACAGUAGCACCAUGUGCUAACUGUGGCUAAAGAACCACAUUUACCAAGACAACUAUCCAGUACAAAGCCCUAAAACACACCAAGAAACACAUUAAAGCCUAUUUUACUGCUGGAAGCUGCAAGCUAACGCCUAAAGAACAAACUAAAGCAAUGGAGCCAAACCCAGUUCACUGGUGAAGAGAAGCAGAGGAAAUGUUUGCCUGCAGCUAAAUAAAGCAGGAAGACACUGAGCUGCUCAGGUGUUCCUGAUAACACCAAGCAGCCACCUGGACAGCCAAUAGGAGCACAACUUACUGGAAGUCCAGAGGGCUGGGUUAGUGAAGGAAAUUUAGUUUAAAGUUGAAGCAGAAAGUUAACAGAAAGUUGAAAACCAGCUUCUGAUACCUGAAAUCUCUGUUUUCACACAAAGAAC
ensembl:lncRNA